GGGGCCGUGGCUGGGGGUGGGCGCGGGGUCGUGGCUGGUGGUCGCGGCAGGGGCGAUGCCGGCGCUGGGCGCCGGUUCGAUUCCGGCUGGGCCGGC
rnacentral:tRNA from 1 species